rnacentral:rRNA from 1 species
CUCCCGGGUGAUCCCGCCGGACCCGACUGCUAUCAGAGUGGGACUAAGCCAUGCGAGUCGACGUAGCAAUGCGUGGCGAACGGCUCAGUAACACGUAGUCAACAUGCCCAGGGGACGUGGAUAACCUCGGGAAACUGAGAAUAAACCACGAUAGGUCACGAUUUCUGGAAUGGAUCAUGGCCUAAAUCUACAUGGCCCCUGGAUUGGACUGCGGCCGAUCAGGCUGUUGGUGAGGUAAUGGCCCACCAAACCUGUAACCGGUACGGGCUCUGAGAGGAGAAGCCCGGAGAUGGGCACUGAGACAAGGGCCCAGGCCCUAUGGGGCGCAGCAGGCGCGAAACCUCUGCAAUAGGCGAAAGCCUGACAGGGUUACUCUGAGUGAUUUCCGCUAAGGGGAUCUUUUGGCACCUCUAAAAAUGGUGCAGAAUAAGGGGUGGGCAAGUCUGGUGUCAGCCGCCGCGGUAAUACCAGCACCCCGAGUGGUCGGGACGAUUAUUGGGCCUAAAGCAUCCGUAGCCGGUUCUGCAAGUCUUCCGUUAAAUCCAGCCGCUCAACGGAUGGGCCGCGGAGGAUACUACAGGACUAGGAGGCGGGAGAGGCAAGCGGUACUCAGUGGGUAGGGGUAAAAUCCUUUGAUCCAUUGAAGACCACCAGUGGCGAAGGCGGCUUGCCAGAACGCGCUCGACGGUGAGGGAUGAAAGCUGGGGGAGCAAACCGGAUUAGAUACCCGGGUAGUCCCAGCUGUAAACGAUGCAGACUCGGUGAUGGGCUAGCCUUGUGCCAGCCCAGUGCCGCAGGGAAGCCGUUAAGUCUGCCGCCUGGGGAGUACGGUCGCAAGACUGAAACUUAAAGGAAUUGGCGGGGGAGCA